rnacentral:rRNA from 1 species
AGAGUUUGAUCCUGGCUCAGGAUGAACGCUGGCGGCGUGCUUAACACAUGCAAGUCGAACGAAGCAUUUUAGAAGAAGUUUUCGGACGGAUUUUGGGAUGACUUAGUGGCGGACGGGUGAGUAACGCGUGGGCAACCUGCCCCGUACCGGGGGACAACAGCUGGAAACGGCUGCUAAUACCGCAUAAGCUUUCUAAGGCGCAUGCUUUGGGAAGGAAAACUCCGGUGGUAUGGGAUGGGCCCGCGUUGGAUUAGGCAGUUGGCGGGGUAACCGCCCACCAAACCGACGAUCCAUAGCCGGCCUGAGAGGGCGACCGGCCACAUUGGGACUGAGACACGGCCCAAACUCCUACGGGAGGCAGCAGUGGGGAAUAUUGCGCAAUGGGGGGAACCCUGAUGCAGCGACGCCGCGUGAGCGAAGAAGUAUUUCGGUAUGUAAAGCUCUAUCAGCAGGGAAGAAGAUGACGGUACCUGCAUAAGAAGCUCCGGCUAAAUACGUGCCAGCAGCCGCGGUAAUACGUAUGGAGCAAGCGUUAUCCGGAUUUACUGGGUGUAAAGGGAGCGUAGACGGGUAUGCAAGUCUGAUGUGAAAGGCCGUGGCUCAACUGCGGGACUGCAUUGGAAACUGUUGUCUUGAGUGCCGGAGAGGUAAGCGGAAUUCCUGGUGUAGCGGUGAAAUGCGUAGAUAUCAGGAGGAACACCAGUGGCGAAGGCGGCUUACUGGACGGUAACUGACGUUGAGGCUCGAAAGCGUGGGGAGCAAACAGGAUUAGAUACCCUGGUAGUCCACGCGGUAAACGA